GUCAGAAUUCCGGGGGUUGUAAUCUACAAAAGCGUACCCGCGCGACUGGUCGAUGGUAUGGAACAGGGGAUUCCAAUCGAACAUGGCCAGCAUGGAACUGGGCAGUGUAUUGGCAACGAACAUCUUGCCCGAGGCGAUCAUGUUGGCCCGUUG
rnacentral:ncRNA from 1 species